GCUAUGUUGGCUAGCUGGCUAUGACUAUCCAACACAACACUGGAACACUUCCAAGUCAAGCAAAAUCAAUGACGAGACCUUCAAGCUGCCUGAUUGAAGAAGGCAGUGAGCUCCAUCGGGUCUUUUUAAAAAUGGCAUGAAAGUGAAACCUACUGCGUGAUAGGGAAAUAGGGAGAUAAGCUGUGUGGGCAAACUGCUUUUUCAUCUGAUCCGUCCAAUUUAUCACCUCUAAAAUGUAAAUAAAACACUAUAAAGAGUUUAUAUAAUAUGUCAUUACAUACCUACUUGAAUCAUGUUUUUAGGGCGGUGCUAAAGUUAUCUUCCGAAAAAAACAGAGGCCGUCCCGGUUUUGAGAGUCAUGAUGGCUUGCAGUGUUGACGCAAGAAAUAAAUGCAUUCAAUUGUACAAUUGACUAGGUAUCCCCCUUACCCUGUCCCUUUCUUGUUUUAAAUCUGCCAGUGAAGUGCUACAUCUGGUUGAGAGAGGCAGUACAACACAGAAUGAGUUGCAUUAUGUGUGCUGUAAGUUAGUUACAUCAUGACACAUCACAAUUUAAGGUACAGUGUCAGAGGGGUCAGUUAUUUCAACUUUUCAACCCCAUUACCAUGUCAAUCAACGCUUGAAUAGAAACGUAGUUCACACCCAGAUGUUGAUGUCAACACAGUCGCUACAAUCCCAUUAGUUUUCAUUGCAGCCUUGUUUGAAUGCCGCGGUUGAGCAAAUUUGUAAGGAUUGGGGUUAGUCAACAAUAGCUUUAUUAGCAACAAUAGCUUUAUUACAUAUUCCCGACUGUAUGUAAUGAAACCUAAGAUUACCUGGGGUACCAAUGUAAGAAAUAACACGUAAAAAAAACCUAAAUACUGCAUAGUGUCCUAGGAACGCGAAGCGAGGCGGCCAUCUCUGUCGGCGCACAGUAUCGUCUACAAUGACGAUUCUGUGCAUCCAACUUUGUGGCAACAAUGUGUGGAAGGCCCUUUCCUGUUUCAGGAUGACAAUGCAGUACAUUACAUACAGAAAUGAACGGUCCUUAUUUUUACUGAAAGGAAACUAAAUAAACUAAAUUCUUGUAGGCCGAU